UUUUUUGUUGGAUCUUUCGGAUUGCUUGCUUUUGGUGCAAAGAGUUUUGUGAUCGGCGUGUUAUAGUUUGAUAAAGGAAACGCGCGGGCAGCUAUGGCUAGUUACUUCUAUUUACGGGAAAACCAGCAGUUUCAUAGCGGUUCUUUUCAAUAUGACCAGAUCAAUAGAAACAAGGGAUCUCUUCUGCGGUGGAAAUGCUUUGUAAAUUUCUUUUAUCUUUUGGAAGGAUGUACUGUAAAUUUAGAUAGUGGGCCUCGAGCAAUUAUAUGCAGGUUGUUUUUCCUUUU